GACGAACGCUGGCGGCGUGCUUAACACAUGCAAGUCGAGCGGUAAGGCCCUUUCGGGGGUACACGAGCGGCGAACGGGUGAGUAACACGUGGGUGACCUGCCUCUAGCUCUGGGAUAAGCCUGGGAAGCUGGGUCUAAUACCGGAUAUGACCUCGCGGUGCAUGUUGCGGGGUGGAAAGCCUUGUGCGGCUAGGGAUGGGCCCGCGGCCUAUCAGCUUGUUGGUGGGGUGANGGCCUACCAAGGCGACGACGGGUAGCCGGCCUGAGAGGGCGACCGGCCACACUGGGACUGAGACACGGCCCAGACUCCUACGGGAGGCAGCAGUGGGGAAUCUUGCGCAAUGGGCGAAAGCCUGACGCAGCGACGCCGCGUGAGGGAUGAC
rnacentral:rRNA from 1 species